UACGGGGGGGGCAAGCGUUGUUCGGAAUCAUUGGGCGUAAAGGGCGCGUAGGUGGUUCUGUAUGUCUACCGUGAAAGCAUACAGCUCAACUGUAUUUUGUCGGUAGAAACUGCAGGACUUGAGGCUGGGAGGGGCUGGUGGAAUUCCCUGUGUAGCGGUGAAAUGCGUAGAGAUGGGGGAGAACACUCGUGGCGAAGGCGGCCAGCUAGACCAGUUCUGACACUGAGGCGCGACAGCGUGGGGAGCAAACAGG
rnacentral:rRNA from 1 species